rnacentral:snRNA from 1 species
GAGCAUGCCUGUCGGGACC